rnacentral:rRNA from 1 species
GUCGAACGCUGGCGGCGUGCUUAACACAUGCAAGUCGAACGAAGUGGCGAACGGGUGAGUAAUACGUGGGUAACUGCCCUCCUUUUUGGGAUAAGCCUUGGAAACGGGGUCCAAUACCGACUAAAGGGGGACGGGCUCGGGGCCUAGCAGCUUGUUGGUGGGGUGCUGGCCUACCAAGGCGGUCACGGGUAGCCGGCCUGAGAGGGGACCGGCCACAUUGGGCUGAGAUACGGCCCGGGCUCCUACGGGAGGCAGCAGUGGGGGAUAUUGCACAAUGGGCGAAAGCCUGAACCAGCAACGCCGCGUGAAGGAAGACGGUCUUCGGGUUGUAAACUUCUUUAGACAGGGACGCGGUACCUGUAGAAUAAGCCACGGCUAACUACGUGCCAGCAGCCGCGGUAAUUC